rnacentral:lncRNA from 1 species
UGGCCGGAGAGGCAGCAGCACCCCGAGCUGUCAGGCGUUCCGCCGCGGCCGCGAGGCCCGCCGGCCGGCGGGGAGCUACGCCCGGACGGCCAGCAGGCCCGCGGGAGUGGGGCUGCCGCGGCUGAGGCGAGGCGGGCCGCGCGCGUCGGCGUCACAGCCCGCGGCAGAGGCGCCCAGGGCGGCCGGGCCCACGACGCCGAAAGCGCCGCUGCGGUUGCCGCCUCGGAGGCUCCCCCGGGCCCCGGCGGCUGGACCCGGCGCGGGCGGGAGGCUCGGGCGGGCGGUCCGGCCCGGGACUCGGGUUUGGGCGACCAGGAGGUGCCGGUGGCCGCGCUCGGACCCGGUGACUUAAGAGAUUAAAAUUAAUUUGGUUGCUGUUGGUUCUGAACAAAUAAUGAGUUCUUUUAUUUGAGGUAUGCCAUUUUGAAGACUGAGACGUUGGAGUUUUAUCCUAGAGGAUAAAGGAAAUCUUUGGGAAAGUCAGUAUUUUAUAUAGCAAAUUUGAUUGUGGAGCGGCAUAAGGGGGAGAAAGAUAAGUUGAGGACGUCUCUUUAUCUUUUGUUAAUCAGAGGUGGUGAUAGAGUGGAAAAUAUAACACGUUUCGGCAUUCAGGAGACCUACCUUCCAAUAAAUAUGAACCUCAAACUGAAUCCUCUAAAGGCCCCAUACAAUGAAGUAGACAUUGGUGGAAACAUUUACACCCAGUCAGCUUGAAGAGUUUCAAAUGGACCCUACCACUGAGAAAUCAAGAUGGCAGUCUACUAUGGGGAAUUGAGGAAAAAUGGAUUAAUACAAGAGUCCUGUGAUAAUAUACAACCAAGACAGGGUUCUUUUAACAUGGAUUCCAUGCAGUGAAUGAAGACAUAGGUUUCUUACCCAACACAAAUGGACAGUGGAUUUGACUUUCUAAAGACUUUUUUUGUGGACAUUUUGACAUUUGGAGAAGAAAGAUGGCACACUAACCCAGAUAAUAGUUUUUAUGCCUGGAAUUUUUUGCAGUUUGAUUUGUAUGCGUAUGACCUCUUGAAAUGUUAAUUUUUAAUAAAAUUUGUAACACUUAAAA